UACGUAGGGUGCGAGCGUUAAUCGGAAUUACUGGGCGUAAAGCGUGCGCAGGCGGUUUUGUAAGCCGGAUGUGAAAUCCCCGGGCUUAACCUGGGAAUGGCAUUCGGGACUGCAAGGCUGGAGUGCGGCAGAGGAGACUGGAAUUCCACGUGUAGCGGUGAAAUGCGUAGAGAUGUGGAGGAACACCAAUGGCGAAGGCAGCCUUCUGGGCCAACACUGACGCUCAUGCACGAAAGCGUGGGGAGCAAACAGG
rnacentral:rRNA from 1 species